UCGUCUUCGUCACAGGUGUCCAAGUCCUCUGUCAGUAGUCAACUCAAGAAAACCUCAGGAGGCGCUUGAUCCCCCAUCUCACAGGCUCAGGCCCCCUCCAGCUUCACAUUUUUGUAACACCUGCAGCUCAGGAUGAGACCGUGUGAUGUCUGCCCUGUUUGCUAGACUAGAAGGUCACCGUCCACCUGGAGAAACGCACAGGUGGUCCAGCGCCUGGCCCGCCAGUCAUGGCAGCUCAGAGUUACCGCCUAGGAUACAGAGCGGGGAAAGCUUGCUAGACGUACGUUUAUAGGGCUUGUAACCAGAGGGGUGUUCACACGUGUUCAUCGCUUACUCUACAGAAGUGCAGUGGCUGUUUCCAGGGUGUGUGGUUCUUGAGCCUUUUAAAGGGCAGUAACUCCAAGGACAUCCACUGGGGCCGUGCCAAGGUCAAAGUGGACACUUGAAGUUAGUCCAGUGCCUGGCUUCUCCCCCAGGCAGCUCGGAGUGUCCUCCAUUAUUUCUGCUGCUGAUGGUGUUAGCACAUUUCAUUAAGCAGGAACCAGUCUUGGACACACCUUUUGCGAUUAGAUGGUUCUAAAACCUUAUUCCCCUCUUCGUUGACCCAAAUGAGGAAUUCCCCAAUGAGGGGACGGUGCUACAGGCUGAUGGGUGACACCAUCCCCUCUUUAAGCCCAUGGCUCACCAGCUGCUUCCUGUAGGAGACUCCCUCUCUCCCUUCUCCAUGCUGCUCUGAGUGGCCAGCAUCAAUGGGCUUCUUUGCCCUUCUUUCCUGCAGUGAGAGGCACAAACAAGAGAUGGGAGAGAGGAGAAUGAGGGCAGGGCAUUCUCUCCCAGCAUCCUCCCAUCAGGCCACCUUGGGCUGGCCACAUCCCUCUAAGGCUUUUCUUCUCCUCUUCCUAAACCAUUCAGUUUCCUUGCUCAAGGAGCCACAUUUUCUCCUUGUCUAGGAGUGAUGGCAGAGCCUUAUUGUUGUUAGUCCCUGGGAGAAUUCAUUGUCUUUUUAUUUCUCCUACCUGACUUUAUUCAAAUUCCUUUUAUUUGACUCUUCCUGGUUCUAACACCAACACUGUCUCCUAACCCCGGGGACCUUCAGAAAAGUAAAAAAUUAGCAAUUUGUUGAAAAAAAAAAUGUGAACCUCUAAAGAGAGCAGAGGUCCAACCCUUUCUCGUUACCUUGUUUUCCAGUAGCUUGCUGCUGACUCACCCAUGCACCCACCUGCAGGCUUCGGCCACCCAGUCCCUGUCUGGGGCUUAUACUUGAGCCUGGGCACGCCAGCAGAGAGGCUGCCCCAUGGGCUCCGUGCUGAGGUUAAGAUUUUCAGGCUCAUCUGGGGCAAAAGGAAAGAAGUGCAGCCAGGCAGGGAUUCUGAACCGUAUCGACCUGGGAAGCAAAAAUCCUAGCUGGCGAGUGGCACUGGGCAUCAGGUCUGCAGGGAGAGGGGAGGCAUCAACAGGGAGGUGAAUCAGCAGGGAAGAAGAAAGGAAGCAUGGAACUCAAGGCAGCUUGCAGCGAGCUGGUUAGGGUGAAAUGUGACGGUGUCUGCAGGUGAAAUGUGUGCAGGUGUCCCGGGACCCUUUCUUCUUGAUGGCUACAAACCCUAAAGGAGGUGGGUGGGAGCAGGCAGUCAUAAACCAAUUCCUUUUGUAAGAGGCUGCUUCAGUAGUCUCCAUCUCAGCCCUUGUGAGGCUUGGAAUUGAGUCAGAAUCCCAGUCCUGGGUUUUGAGAGCGUGACCGUGGCCACUCAGCCUGCACAGAGUCCUGUGACUGUCUUGGUUGCUGAGCAGAUCAAGGGCGCCUCUGCUGGGGGAGGCUCUGCUGGCCCAGUCUCAGCUCUCCCAGCCCCCCAGGCCAUAGCAUUGUCUUCUAUGGACACACCCUCACUAAUCCUGAGCCUUUGUGCUGCUUACCUUCCAGCUACCCCAGUGGCCUCAGUAGAGCCCUGCUCUGUGGUCUAACCUUCCCCUCCCUGGGGGCUGGAUUCUGCUUUGAUGACCCCACCUCUGGUACAUGCCUUUGAGGAUAAUUUCAGGUGGAGAGUCUUAGGCUCCUUCUCUCUGACUCCUGAGUAAAGAACAGGGAUUUGCUUCAACUUCCUCACCCUUCUGUUGGGCAGCGUCCACACCGACAGCCCAGCAUUUGGAUGAGAGCAUCGUGUGGUAACUGCAAGUCCUGAGCAUCCCCAGAGGUCGGCCUUGUGUAGCAGGGUUAGUGGCCCCACUCCACGCUGGAUUUGUGGGGCAGAUUUUUCCCUAGUCUCCUUCCUCCUCGUGUGGCUGAAAAUUUAGGCCGUCUUGGGCCGAAACCCAUCCAGGUGUGGAAAUGGGCCACCUGGCAACCUCCACCAUCCAGUACAUGGGCAGGAAAGCUAUAUAUGUAUAUGCACACACGGAUUUAUGAAAGCGGUGUACACGCUGUAAUGGAAAUGGAGCACUGGCCUUCAAAAGAGAAACCGUCCCUAUGAAAAAGAUAAAUUUACAAAAAGAAACUCUUUUCCAGCAAGAGUUCGGGGAUGAGACCGUCUCAUCACAAGUUUAAAUACAUUAAAGAAUUUUAUUUGCCAUCU
rnacentral:lncRNA from 1 species